rnacentral:rRNA from 1 species
CCUACGGUGGGCAGCAGUGAGGAAUAUUGGUCAAUGGGCGAGAGCCUGAACCAGCCAAGUCGCGUGAGGGAAGACGGUCCUAUGGAUUGUAAACCUCUUUUGCCGGGGAGCAAAAAGCGGUACGUGUACCGCAUCGAGAGUACCCGGAGAAAAAGCAUCGGCUAACCCCGUGCCAGCAGCCGCGGUAAUACGGAGGAUGCGAGCGUUAUCCGGAUUUAUGGGGUUUAAAGGGUGCGCAGGCGGCGAGUAAAGUCAGCGGUAAAAUUUCGGUGCUCAACCCGGACGAGCCGUUGAAAAUGGCUUGCUAGAGUGGGCGAGAGGUAUGCGGAAUGCGUGGUGUAGCGGUGACAUGCAGAGAGAUCACGCAGAACUCCGAUUGCGAAGGCAGCAUACCGGCGCCCAACUGACGCUCAGGCACGAAAGCGUGGGUAUCGAACAGGAUUAGAUACCCUUGUAGUC